rnacentral:lncRNA from 1 species
AGGGAGGCCGGGAGGGGUCCCUGGGCGGGGAGUUGCUGCGCAUCUGUUGUGUGUGUGCGUCUGUCUGUCUGUUCAGGUCUGUUUUAGGCUGUGUCUGCCUGUCUCUCUGUCUGGGUCUCUUUCAGGCUGCGUCGGUCUGUCUGUCUGGGUCUGUUUCAGGCUGUGUCUGUCUGUCUGUCUGGGUCUGUUUCAGGCUGUGUCUGUCUGUCUGUCCGGGUCUGUUUCAGGCUGUAUGUGUGUCUGCUCUUUGCUUCUGCUCCUGGCUCUGUGUGUAUUUCCCGGGUCCUGUGGCCC